GGGCCGGUAGCUCAAUGGUCAGAGCAGCGGACUCAUAAUCCGUUGGUUCCAGGUUCAAGUCCUGGGCGGCCCACCA
rnacentral:tRNA from 2 species